rnacentral:lncRNA from 1 species
UCAAAUCUUCCUUUUGUUAAAUCAUCUAAUCCUUACUUGAUACGAGCUGUCCUGUUUACUGACAGCUUCAUAUUGAAAUUCAGGAGGAAGACCACACUAGGCUAUUUUGGAGGACAAAGGAUGAAAAUUACUUAUACAAUGUAUUUCCAAUUACUUUUUCAGGUUUAUGCAAUAGUAAAAACAGAGUUUUUUAGUUAAUUUCAUUUUUUAAUUAAUUCAUUAAAAAUACUUAUUGAGUAUCAACUAUGUACCUGCUACUGAACUAAGUCUUAGGGGUUUAAGGACAUAGUUUGUGCAAACCUAUUACAUAGAGGGGGAAAAUAUACAUAGUUAUAUACACAGUUAUAUACAUAUAGGUACACACAUUUGUGUAUGUGUGUGUGUGUGUGUACACCUAUCUAUAUACAUACACACAAUUUAUCAUAACUGGCAAUGUUAUAGUGCACAAAGCAUUUUGGAUAUAUCAGGGGAGAGUUUGAGGAAAGAGAUUUACAGAGAACAGCUGAUAUUUGAAUUGGGUUUGUAAUUGUGAGAAGGACUUUGCUAUAACUGAGGCUGUUGUCAAAAUUCAAGGCUGGGAAGGAUCAUAGAUGUGCUGAGGGCCUUCAGAGUCCUCUAGAAGGAUAGUCACUCACUGAAGGCCUGAGGACACAUGCCUGGAUGAAUUGAAGGUGGUAGGCAUACCACAUAUUUGGGAUAAUAAGGGCAGGAUCUCAAUGUGCUUCUAUGGGAGAGACUAAAUGGCCUACAUAACAAGAAUAAAAAUAAGCUAUUGGAAGCAACAUAAGUGUCCAUUACUGGAUGAAUAGGCAAAGAAAAUGUGGUAGAUACAUACAAUGGAAUAUUAUGCAAUUUUUUUAAAAAAGAAAGAGAUUCUGACACAUGCUAUAACAUGGAUGAACCUUGAAGACACUAAGCUAGGUGAAAUGAGUCAGUCACAAUUGGACAAAUACUGUGUGAUUCCACAUAUGUGUGUGUCUAGAGUAUGCCAAUUCACAGAGAAGAUAGUAUAAGGUGGUUCCUAGGGACUGGGAGAAGGGAAAGUUUUUCAUUGAUCAGCACAGAGCUUUAGUUGAGGAAGAUGAAUAGGCUUGGGAGACAAAUGGUGGUGAUGGUUUCAGAGCGUGCAUAUAUUCAAUGCUUCCAAAC